rnacentral:rRNA from 1 species
CAGCAGCCGCGGUAAUACGAAGGGUGCAAGCGUUACUCGGAAUUACUGGGCGUAAAGCGUGCGUAGGUGGUGGUUUAAGUCCGUUGUGAAAGCCCUGGGCUCAACCUGGGAAUUGCAGUGGAUACUGGGUCACUAGAGUGUGGUAGAGGAUAGUGGAAUUUCCGGUGUAGCAGUGAAAUGCGUAGAGAUCGGAAGGAACAUCUGUGGCGAAGGCGACUAUCUGGGCCAACACUGACACUAAGGCACGAAAGCGUGGGGAGCAAACAGGAUUAGAUACCCCAGUAGUCCCUGUCUCUUAUAC